UACGAAGGGGGCUAGCGUUGUUCGGAUUUACUGGGCGUAAAGCGCACGUAGGCGGCUUGUUAAGUCAGGGGUGAAAUCCUGGAGCUCAACUCCAGAACUGCCUUUGAUACUGGCAAUCUUGAGUCCGGAAGAGGUGAGUGGAACUCCUAGUGUAGAGGUGGAAUUCGUAGAUAUUAGGAAGAACACCAGUGGCGAAGGCGGCUCACUGGUCCAUUACUGACGCUGAGGUGCGAAAGCGUGGGGAGCAAACAGG
rnacentral:rRNA from 1 species